rnacentral:lncRNA from 1 species
GCUGGGAUUACAGGCGUGAGCCACCGCGCCCGGCCUCUCUCUCUUUCUGUGUAUAGAGGCGAUGCUUGCAACUGCUGCAGCCAUUUUGCCACCAUGGAGGAAGCUUCUUUGGGAAUGAUGCUAACAUAAGGAAGGGAGGGAAAGGAGAAAACAACACUGGGUCCUUGAUGACAUCACUGUCCCAUUGAUCCUACCUGCCUUGACACCCACACUCCCUGCAGAAACAGCUGCUGAUAAAUCUCCAAUACAUCAAGCAUUUUGCAUUGUUUUCUAUUUUUGACAGUGUGAAGCCUCAUGACUUAUAUGUCAGAUUAAGCCUUUUGUUAAGAAGAUAUAAGCAUUGUCAUGAGAAACACCAGACUUUGGUUUAAGUUACUGCUCUGCAACUUUCGGACCUACGUGGCCUUACGAAUGCAUAAACUUCUUCCUGGAAGCUGGCGCUACACAGGAGUCAAGCUGCUCUGAAAAGAGAUAUAAGUGAGACUUCUGAAUUUCCCUCCAGCACCCAGAAAAAGGUAGGAAACAUAACAGGCAUUCUUAAUUAAUUCCUGCAGGAGAACUAAGGUAAAAAGAUGCUUCCCAACAUCAUCCUGAGCCCUCCUUGGAGGUACAACUGGAGGCCGAGAUUUGUGUUUUGACAUUGAGCCUUUUGGGGAUUCAAAGGCACCUCCCUGGUCUCCCCCCAGACCAUAAAGAUAUGAGAAACCCAAGCACCUGUUCUUGGCUGACGCCAGCUGGGAAUUUACUGCCCAUUCUCCUGGGCCUGAUGCCCAGCAGGGCCAGUCUCAGCGGAGUCAACCGUCUGAGAGGAGGAUCGAUUAAGGAAACCGCUGUUCAGGCUUAGACUAUAGAUUUUUUGAAACAGCCCCAUCCACAGCUGUAGAUGGCUCCAGGCUGCUUACGGAGGCAGGAGAAAGUGAUGGUCCCAGCUCCUGGGCUCGCCUUAUGUGACUCUGUGCCUCCUUUCAGGAUUUCUCUUUAAAAACCUAUUUUUGCAAAUGGUUUUCAAAAAGACCCAAAUGAACUUUUUUCAAGUUGGGUCAUAGCCAUGAUACCAGAUGAGUCAUCAGAAGUCCAAACCUAGGGAUCGUUUUGUGGAAGAAUAUAAUUUUGGAACUAGGAAGGUCCUUAGAGAGGGUUCGGUGCAGCAGUCCAACAGAAAUCUAAUGCGAGCCAUGAAUUCCAGAUUUUCUAGCAGACAUAUUAAAAAGUAAAACCAAACAGGUGACAUUAAUUUCAAUAAUAUAUUCUACCUAACCUGAUAUAUCCAAAAUAUUAACAUUUCAACAUGUAAUAAUUAUAAAAACUAUUUUAUCAGCUUUAUCAAUACAUAGCUUAAGUAUCAUAAAAUUCUCUUUUUUUUUUUUUUUUUUUUGAGACAACGUCUUGCUCUGUUACCCAGGCUGGAGUGCAGUGGCAUGAUCUCAGCUCACUGCAACCUCUACUUCCUGGGUUCAAGUGAUUCUCAUGCCUCAGCCGCCUAAGUAGCUGGGACUACAAGCGUAUGCCACCAUGCCCGGCUAAUUUUUGUAUUUUUUGUAAAGAUGGGGUUUCACCAUGUUGCCCAGGCUGGUGUUAAACUCCUGGCCUCAAGUGAUCUGCCCACCUCGGCCUCCCAAAGUGCCGGAAUUACAAGCGUGAGCCACUGCACCCAGCCAGUACCAUAAAAAUUCACCCAUGUAACGUGUACAAUUAAAUGGUUUUUCAUAUAUUUACAGAGUUGUGUAACCAUCACCAUCAUCUAAUUUUAGAAUAUUUUCAUCACCCCAAAAAGACACUUUGCAUCCAUUAGCAGCCACUCCCUGUUACCCUCUUGACCAGCCCCAGGCAACCAUGAAACUGCUUUCUGUCUCUAUGGAGCUGCCUGUUCUGAACACAUCAUAUGAAUGGAAUUGUACAGUAUGUGGGCUUUGCUGAAUUGCUUAUGAAUUCAUCAUAAUGUUUUCAAGAUUCAUCCAUGUUGCAGCAUGCAUCAGUGCUCCAUUCCUUUUCAUUGCUACUGUGUAGAUAAAAAAUUACUAUUAUUAUUAUUAUUAUUAUUAUUAGAGACAGGGUCUCGUUCGAUCACGCAGGCUGGAGUGCAGUACCACCAUCAUAGGUCACUGCAGCCUGGAACUGCUGGGCUCAAGCAAUCCUCCAGCCUCAGCCUCCCAAGUAGGUAAGACUACAGGCACGUGCCACCAUACCCAGCUAAUUCUUAUUUUUAUUUUUUGUAGAGAUGGGGUCUCACUAUGUUGCCCAGGAUGUCUCAAACUUCUGGCCUCAAGUAAUCCUCCCUCCUUGGCCUCUUAAAGUGCUAGGAUUAUAGGCAUGAACCACUGCACUUGACCGAUAAAAAGUUACUGGGGUAUUUUUCAUUCUUUUUUGUACUAAGCCCUUAAAAGCCACUGUGCAUUUUAUACUCACAGCACAUCUCAUCUAGCAAGCGACAUUGCAAGUGCUCGGUUG